UGCAGCUGUGUCAAAUUCGGUGCCUGCCCCACAUAUGGCAGGCUCCGGUCCAGAAGGCUGCCACAGUGACACUGUGACUCAUGGGCCCUGAUCCCCAUUCCUGGGCCUCAGGGAUAAGUUUGGUUACAGACAACC